AUGGAGGAACUCUGAUGCAGCCAUGCCGCGUGCAGGAUGAAUGCCCUACGGGUUGUAAACUGCUUUUGUAUAGGAAGAAACUUUUCUACGUGUAGAGAACUGACGGUACUAUAAGAAUAAGGACCGGCUAACUCCGUGCCAGCAGCCGCGGUAAUACGGAGGGUCCAAGCGUUAUCCGGAUUUAUUGGGUUUAAAGGGUCCGUAGGCGGGAGGAUAAGUCAGUGGUGAAAGCCUACAGCUCAACUGUAGAACUGCCAUUGAAACUGUUUUUCUUGAAUAUAGAUGAAGUGGGCGGAAUAUAUCAUGUAGCGGUGAAAUGCAUAGAUAUGAUAUAGAACACCGAUUGCGAAGGCAGCUCACUAAACUAUUAUUGACGCUGAGGGACGAAAGCGUGGGGAGCGAACAGGAUUAGAUACCCUGGUAGUCCACGCCGUAAACGAUGAUUACUCGGUGCUAGCGAUAUACUGUUAGUGCCUAAGCGAAAGCGAUAAGUAAUCCACCUGGGAAGUACGGUCGCAAGAUUGAAACUCAAAGGAAUUGACGGGGGCCCGCACAAGCGGUGGAGCAUGUGGUUUAAUUCGAUGAUACGCGAGGAACCUUACCUGGGCUUAAAUGUAUUUUGACAGGCUGGGAAACCAGUCCUUCUUCGGACAAUUUACAAGGUGCUGCAUGGUUGUCGUCAGCUCGUGCUGUGAGGUGUCGGGUUAAGUCCCAUAACGAGCGCAACCCCUAUCCUUAGUUGCCAGCGAGUAAUGUCGGGGACUCUAAGGAAACUGCCGGUGCAAACCGUGAGGAAGGUGGGGAUGACGUCAAAUCAUCACGGCCCUUACGUCCAGGGCUACACACGUGCUACAAUGGCGGAUACAAAGGGCAGCUACUUGGUGACAAGAUGCUAAUCUCGAAAGUCCGUCUCAGUUCGGAUCGAAGUCUGCAACUCGACUUCGUGAAGCUGGAAUCGCUAGUAAUCGCGUAUCAGCAAUGACGCGGUGAAUACGUUCCCGGGCCUUGUACACACCGCCCGUCAAGCCAUGGAAGUUGGGAGUGCCUGAAGUCGGUGACCGCAAGGAGCUGCCUAAGGUAAAACUGAUAACUAGGGCUAAGUCGUAACAAGGUAGCCGUACCGGAAGGUGCGGCUGGAACACCUCCUUUUU
rnacentral:rRNA from 1 species